CUGCUGAACAGGGGGUGUAGACCAAUCAUUUACAACAUGCAUACGUACCAGUUGAUAUUAAACCACUGUAUGGUGCAUAUUACUGUAUGUAACUUACUAUGCAUAGAGUACUUACUGACAAAAUUAUUUUUUGUACAUUCCAGAACCCCCUGAAUGAUGUAGGCUAUGGGGCCACAUAAGACUUUGUGCAUCCAGGGUUACAUAGCACGACAACUUUAAACUAAAGAACCCCCUGAAUGAUGUAGGCUAUGGGGCCACAUAAGACUUUGUGCAUCCAGGGUUACAUAGCAUGACAACUUUAAACUAAAAAGCUACCAGACUGGGAUUUUAGUGUACUCCAGGAUCUACCAAAGGAUUAGUGUACAGUGUAUAAUAGUGUUUAGUGUAUAAUCUAACCUAAGGAUUAAGUGUAGUACAUUGUGCUUUAUAGUGUCACAAGAGUUUAAU